UGGGGCGUUUCCGACCUUAAAGUGUCAGUGUUUCCCUGGGUCAACAGGAGCCGAGAGCCGUAAGGGCAUGGGGCAUUAUCUUCUCUCUCUGUAAAAGCAGGACAGAUGAAAUUUGGCAAGCACCGGAUGCAUCAGUCCCCUUAUACCUCAGCUGCCUUCCCCGGGAGCAGAAAGAAACCUGGGAAGAUGGCAAUAAAGCUGGGUCUGGAUCCUAAGUUCAGUGUGAUGGAAAAGAGCUCUCUACCUUCCCAGGAGAUGAUCCCAAGAAGUCAGAGGGUGCCCAGCUCCCUGCAUCUUGGCAAAGGAAUCAGCCCUCGGUGGGGGAACUCAGUCUCUUGGGAGCUGGUGGAUCCAAGACCAACAGAGAUGGCAAAACCAACAUCCAGCUACUCUCUAGUCUCAUCUAUACUGAAGUCUAUUUUCAUUCAUGGGAGUCUGCCAUUGCUGCUAUGGUGACCAACUUAAAAAUUAAUUAUAUAAAGACAUUAACAACAUAUUUAAAUAGGAAUGUUCAACCCACGUUUCUGGCAAAAAAGAUCCACAUAUUCCUAGAUUGUGCCCCUCCUACCUUCCCCUUGAGUCCUUAGAUACUGUGACUCCACUCAUUUCUUUCCUUACCCCUAUGCUGAUGUUCACAAAUAUAACUAGUCUUCUGCUUUUUUUUUUUUUUAAAUUUCAACUUAUAUAAACCAGAUAUUCUUUAAAGAAUUCCAGUUCUGCCCAAAGCCUGUGUUGCUGUGAGCACCAGCACUGUCCUCAUGUAGCACACAAGGUUUGGGGUUUGAGUUGGGACAAACAGAGCCCCAGACAGGUGCCCAGCAGAGCAUGGGAUCACUGGACUCCUGCCUGUGUUUUGUUGGGGUUUUCCAGAGGAGACAGGUAAGUGUCAAAAAUGUAUCAUCAGAACCAGAACGCUCAUCAUGGCUGUGACAGGGAGGGGAACUUUACAGGUCCUGCCUUAGUCCUCAGCCCCACAGCUGACCCCUUUAGAGAGGGAAGGGGGCAGUUCAGCCUUGCUUUUUCUCCUCUCGUGACUUCUCUAAGCAAUGGGGCUUUUCAGCCCCUGAGGAGUCACCUCCACACCUGCUGUGACUGAGCUCUCCUGCUUUCCCUUCUCUCCCCUCCCCAGGCUUUCAUCUGUGUCUAACAGUACUUUCUGUGCCCUCCCAUCACAGCCAGCCUUUGAUGUUGGAGCUGUCAUGGAGAUUAUUUUUGUGCUCUUUUCUGCAACUAUUUUACCAUUGACUCAUGUUGUUUCUUUUUUCUGUACUUUUUUUUUUAAUGCAUAAACAUAUAUCCACCCUUACCUCAUUCCUUUCUCUUCAGCCAUGUGUUCUUACAGGAGGCAGCCAAUGGACGGGGACAAGGGGAUAAGAAAGAGGGGAGAAAACUGCACUUGACCAUCCAGGAAUUUGGCUUUUCAGGGCAUCCAGUGAAGUGAAUGCAAACCAAAGUAUGUGUUGCAGUGAACAUGUGCCUCUUGGCAGGGAUUUGUGGAGGGAAGGACUCACUCCUGGGAUGCAGCCCUGAGCUUUCCCACUUUACGAGCUCAUUUGUUUUGGCACUCUCAGAGCUGGUUUACAUGCCUCUGUAUCCAGCCGCUUCUCAGCUAGUAUUUUCCUUCAAAGAGCUACUGGGAACGAGGCCUAAAAAAACUUUGCAGAGAUGCCUUCAUUAGUUCUGCUGAAAAGGACACUGAAGCAGAGUGGUGUGAGAGAUGCCUUUCCCCAGAGCAGCGUCAGUGACUGGUAGAACCACGGCUGACAUCUGGGUGCUGCGGCUCUGUCAGAGACAACCAGCCCUCCCAAACCAGCCCUCUGUGAUUUUCAGAAUUAUCAGCCUUUUCAAACAGCAGAUAAUAAGAGAAGCAAACAAAGCCAGCAUCAAGAGGACUAGGUAUACUUACAGAAAGAAGGUGACUUCUCCAUGGACGGGGCUUGCGGGAUCAGCUGUGACGGUGACUUGUAUUUCACACACAGACAGCGCUUUCCAAGAGAGGUGCUAAAACUGAUGGUGGGUAAUGAAUUCUCACAGACAUUUAUUCACAACUACUCAUGUAAAGGUUUCAUCUGCUCUUCUAGCACAGCCUUCCUGGGAGAGGAACAUAAUGGAUGGAGAGAAACUGCAAAGGGUGCAAGAAGAUAAUGGAGGGUAGAAGAGAGCAGAAAAAUGCAGCUCAAAUGAGCAGGUAAUCAGGGUUACCAAGAGAAUUCACUGUGUUUCUGAAGAUCAAUGCACCAUCACCUUUCAGAUGGAUGCCAUCCCAGGUGCUGUUCUGUACUUAAAAGAGGAAAUGUUUCACCUCUCAAAUCAGUAACAUGUCUUGACUAGAAAAGUCUCCUUUAAUGAUCAGCCUGUUCAAGAGAGAGCAAGGCCUAAUCCUGAUUCACUGGACAGGGUCUUAUAUUGCCUGGUGUGGCUGGAGCUGUAGGAAGAGAGGGUUGAUGUAGGUGGCAGGAGGAAGCAUCAAUCUUGUUCCUUUGGAGCAGAAAUCCCGUCAGGAUGGGGAGGACAGGGUGACUUGAAAGGGCUGAGAGCAAGCAUCCUUUUGGCUUUUUGGUGAGAAACAGCUGAGUGCCCAGGACAGCAAGUAUUUAAUGGACAGAUAGUCUAGUGUUCAGCAAGGCAAAUACAUCCUUGCUCUGAUGUUGUUGGUUUUAGGGAACAUAUAAAACAGUAAGAAGGCAAAAUGAAUGUGAAAAAGAUGAGCACAGGGAAGCACUGAAGAAAUAAGACCUAUUAGCCUGAAUAAAUAAAAGCCUGACAAGGUUGGCUCUUGGGCU
ensembl:lncRNA